rnacentral:tRNA from 1 species
ACGCCAGUAGUUCAAUUGGUAGAGCAUCGGUCUCCAAAACCGAGGGUUGAGGGUUCGAGUCCUUCCUGGCGUGCCA